rnacentral:rRNA from 1 species
UACAGAGGUCCCAAGCGUUGUUCGGAUUCACUGGGCGUAAAGGGUGCGUAGGCGGGUUUUUAAGUCAGAGGUGAAAUCCUGGAGCUCAACUCCAGAACUGCCUUUGAUACUGAAAGUCUUGAGUAUGGGAGAGGUGAGUGGAACUGCGAGUGUAGAGGUGAAAUUCGUAGAUAUUCGGAAGAACACCAGUGGCGAAGGCGGCUCACUGGACCGGGAUUGACGCUGAGGUGCGAAAGCGUGGGGAGCAAACAGG